GAUUAGAGGAAAAGUUAGGGUUUACCGAAAUAGGUGGGGGUGUAACCUCCGGCUUAAAAGAAGGAGUAGUUAUCUGUCGUCGCCGAGAGGGUCCAGUGGAUUUAUGCAGAGGGACUGAAAGUGGACUUGUUAAAAGACGAAGAAUCCACAUACUCUGUCUCUGAAGACACAACCUUCUUCUGUUUCUUUUUCUAGCGAGAUGGUCCGGCAGUAGAGUGUGGAGGAACUGCUGUCUGUUCAUCAUCAGAAUCGAUAAACGAUCACUUGUUCGUACAUGUUCUCAUGGUGAUGAAAGAGUUCAGUUGUAGAACAAAUGAGGCAUAAGAUGAAAGAGUAAAAAUCAG
rnacentral:lncRNA from 1 species